GAAAAAUUAAAAUGUAAUAGUACUUUUCUGAGGAGACUGCAGUAACCAUCUUUAAAAGGCAUCGGCGGCAGUGUUACCGUGAUUUGCAGUUUCCUGGGGACUGCCCUUCCAAUGUCCUUCUGAAGAACAAUAAACUUCUGCCCUUCCUCCGAACCAGACUGACUCAGACGAUCUGUCCUCAUUGAAUUCAGUGGUGUCCAACCUUUAGGCGUCCUGUUCUUAUCUCAUUUCUGUCCUCUAAACCAGCCUACGUGCAACACCCACUGAUACUUAAAGAAUGAUCACAGCACACGUAGCCUCGGUUCCUGGUUUACUUGAUCAGGGUCUCCAGAAAUUGUAUACACACCACAAUCUGGUGAGUUAAAUUACAUCUUAAAUAAGCUAGAAUUAACUCAUUGUUUUAAAAAGGUCCACAGUAAAUCUUUCCCCACCAAGUCCUUAAUUUACCUGAAUUACAGCUCUGAAUUGUUACAUACAAUAUUAAGUCUAUUUAAAAAUCAGCUUAAUUGCAAAUAUCCAAUACAAUGAAUAGUUUAGGGGAAAGAGAAAGGUAUGACACAUUGAAGAAAUUGAAAGUUUUGAGUUUUGAAUCAGGUUUUGGUUUUGCACUUACUAAGUAAGGUUUGUAGCCCUGUGCCUGACACUGGUUCUUGAUUAUAUAGUUUAUUGAACAACUAGUAAUGUAUGAAUAAAAUAAAUUCAAAAAGAAAGAAGUGAAACUGAUCAUGUGGAGGUAGAUUCCCAAACAGCUUUCAAAACUGAAAUGCUAUCUUUAUGUAAUUUCAUUUAAAGUAAUCAUAACUGUAUUGUUUAUUACUAAUGAAUUUAAUUUGCUUUUGAAAAUAUUUCACUUCAUUUAACUGUGUUCAUUGUAGAAAGUUGCAGAAUUUGCAGAAAUAUUUCAUAUUUGGCAUUUAUCAUUUAUUUAUCACUUUUGCCAACAAUAGGAGGAGGUGCUUAAUUCAAAUUUGAAAAUAAACAUUGAAUGUGAUUCGGCUGAAUUGUUUGCUUAGCAUGAAUUAAAUUUAAAGGACUAUUCAAUUUUAAAGGGCUAUUCAAUUUUAUGUGAGGUAAUGGAAAUAUCAUUCUGUGUCAAUGCAAAUAUUAAGACGAGACUGGUUAAGGAAAUUUCUGUGUUUUGAGGAAGAGGGUUCUAGACCAAUGGCUUGAAACCUUUGUUAGACUUUGGAAUGACAAAGUUUGGUAAAUAACACAAUCAGAAAAAAAAAAAAAAAAGAAGAAAACCAAAGAGAAAAAACUGGUGUCUAUAUUCCACCCCUGAUUCUCUUGUUUGUAUUUAGGUCUGGGUAUAAAUAUGAUCUGAAAACUCUCUAAUAUGCAACUGUGGUUGAAAACCGUUCCUCUAGAAUAUUUCAUUCUUUCCUUCCAGCACUAAGAUCUUGCCUUUUCUCAGAAGUGUUGUAUUUUAUUGUAGCUUAAAGAACAGGGAAAAAAAGAGUGUAUAUUUUAGGUUUGCUAGUAAAGAUAUUAAUUGGGAUUGAAUGAAUCUUCUGAUGUAAGUGAUCUAAAUUGACUUUUAAAGAAAAAAAUUUAAUCUUAAUGCAAAUGUCUGCUAUGUUCCAUGCAGGUAUAACUAAUUUGCGUAUAUAAACUCAUUGAACUCUCAGAUUAUAGGCUAUUAACUACUAUUAGAAUGAUUAUAUGAGGCUGAUAGCAUCAGCAGCAGCAUCAUUAGCCCCAUUACAGGUCAACUGAUGGGGUUGUUAAGGAAUAUUUUUGUCUACCAAUAAGGGAAAAAACUGAAACCAGGCAGUUGGCUUUAGAAGCUACAUACUUACCUCAAACACGGUACUGCCUGUCACAGUUUUACAAACAGGACCUGCCACAACGUGUACACCCAAAUCCUUCAUCCAGCCCAGUGCCCUUUUUUUAGAACAUUAUAAGGCACUUGGGAAAAAUUUGAUUUGUUUUCAAUGAAUAAAUGAUGAAUAAGUGCAGCAUUCAGCCCUGUCUAAAAGAAUGAGCUAUAGUCUCCAGCAUCAUCUUGGUAUUCCAUUAGAAACACCUUGAAGAAAAAUGAAAAUUCACCCCCAUUGUGAAAUCCUCCAGAAAGUGAUCGGACACAAUAUCCCUGAGGUCAUACAUUUUAAAAACUAACCUCUUCUUCCCCCGAGCGGCUUCUUAGAUCUAAUCUAAAUGUCUCAUAUUCUAGUUUUAACUGUUUUAUCUUAUUAUCUUCUUUGUCUAGAGAGGAGCUUAAAAAAAAAAUCUGAGUUGAGAAAGUUUUAUUUUCCUUAGCCGGCAGCUGGAAUAUAGGUGAAGCUUUGUGCUCGGUUCCUACCAGAUGGCCGAAAGUGCUGCCCUAGUGGCAGUCAACCAUGAAUGGGUGCCAGCAUUGCUCAGGAGCUUUGAAAAGUGACCAUGGCCAAGCCCCACCUUAGACCAAUUCCAUGCCGUGGUCAUCUGUCCAUGUCAAAGUAGCCACAACUUCCUGUUAAUAUCUCUUCAUGCAAUAUCUUGUAUGCACUGCUGGUGAUUUUAAUAAACUUUGGUUGAUCCUUUAGAUGGUAUUUGCCAGUGUUGAAUAACUUUCCAAAGGUAGCUACUCACUCUGCCUCCCUGUGGGGCCAGUUCACCCAGUGACUGUGAUCUCUUGCCAAAGGAUCACAGACUUCCAUAGACCUCAGAGGGCAGAGGGCAGAGGGCAGAGGGCAGAGGGCAGAGGGCAUUGUGCUAAGUCCCACUAUUGCUGAUGCUCAAAAUACUGCACUGAUGCUUAAAUUACUCUGCUUUCGUCAAGGGUGGAGGUUCUGUCUGACGUUAUCUGUUAUCUUGGUUGUGGCUGUAAGGUGAAAGAGUGCUGAAACACCAGGAGAAGGGACUCGGAUUCCUUGCACGUCUGGGUCAAAUUCUAACCAGAAAGCAGAGGCCUGUGAUGCAGUAGCUGGGCACCAGGAAUGCAGCCCGCCCGUGGUGGCGCAAACUCAAAUAGAGUUAGGUACUAAAAAUCAGUGCCUAUGAAACAAGGAGUAUGAAUUAUGAAAACAAGUCUUCUCAUUUCAAUUGCUUUAAGAGUUGUACUUUCCUCAUAUAAAUGUUUUAUGUCUAUUCCCAAAAUGUCGGCUGAAUCCAUUCCUCCUUAUGCUCUGUGAAAGUGAGGCUGAGGAGAAUGUCUCCGCCCCCUCCUUGCACAGGGUUCCCUUAAAACAUGCAUAUGUCUUCUCCCUAAACAAAAAGCAGAUGCUGUCCUUUAUCUUCAGAACUGCACCAGUGAUUGAUUGCAAAGCUAUUCCCAAAUCGUAUAGGUGAAAAGAAUUCGACAUGAACUAUAAGGUUAAUAGGUUGGCAAGCAGCUAGAUAUUUUAUUAAGCUUUUCUAUUUAUUAACUAGAAGUAUUUUUGAAAAUCGAAGAGUAUAGAAUAUAUGAUUGUGCCAACCAACAAUCAAUGCGCACGUGUUGUAGUAGAGGCUGUUUUGAAAAGGAAAAGAAAGGGGAAAAAAGGACAGAAAAAGAGCCUUGAUAGAACAAUAGAAUCAAAGUAACGACUUGGCUGUUUCAAACAAUAGACCUGUUUAUUUUCAUUUUGGGAACAUUGCUGUCAUUAUUGACUGAAGCCAAAAUGAUUGCAAGGGAUAAAAUAGCAAACGAAAACACCCAUACCUGUUCCAGGGAAAGCAAAAUAUCAAGAACACAAAAUCAAACAACACAAACAUCACAACAUUGACAGCAAUCACAUUAACGGCGGGACCCGCACAGUCUCGGAGUCAGAGGGAGCAGCCGCCGCGUCGUCUGCGCUGCCACAGGGUGGGGUGAGAACAGGAGAAAGGGGUCCACUUCUCAUUUCUACCUCAGUUUUUGUUUUUCACAAGAGCCACCAUUCUCUCCUCGGUGAUGUAUUACUCUCGCUUCAGGGUGGACAUUUAAUAUUUGGUUUAGGAAAUGGCAUAAAGUAUGCCGAGAAAUGCUCGAAGCUUCUCUGGGGAUGGGAGGAGCAGUUGGGAGGUUUUUGUGAACUGCAGUUUUAUUUAUUGGAUAGUGGCAAAUUUUUUACAAAAAACUGCUUUUAGUUUCAAGUUUUCCUUUUCUGUUCUUAAAGGAAGAAGAAAGUGGUUGGGUGGGCUCUGUGAGGACGCUUGAAACCUUCCAAACAGAGCUCAUUUGGAGGCAAGGGCCACUCUGCGAGUGUGGCCAGAUCUCUGGAAGGGCUGUGUCCCUCAUUUUUGUUAGAGGGUCCCAUGGCGGCCUUGGUGUUCUCCUGCAUGUCCAAGCUAUGGCAACAGACUCUCUGGCAGCCGUUGUCUCAGCACACAGAUCACCUAGAUCAGCAUCUUCUGGUGUACAUGGUGAGGACAGACCUGUGUAUCAGUUUUCUGUAUUAGGAGCUAAGAAUCUAAAUUCAGACAACUUUCAUUACUUGUGGGCAAACCACAGUCUGUCUGGGCCACCAUUAUCUAGCUGAGGUAGAAGACCAGCAGGACUUAUUUCCCCAUCCCGACAGGAUGAAGCAAAAAACAGCAGGAACCAGCAGGUAGUGAACAAGGCAACAUCUAGUCACUGUCAAUACUCAUUAGCAUAAGAUACUCCCACCAGCACCACAACAGUUUGCAAAUGCCAUGGCAACAACCUGGAAGUUACCAUCCCUUUUCAUGGAAAUGACCUGGAACUUACAUGCCUUUCCUAGAAAGUUCUGAAUAACCCACCCCUGCAAUCUGCAUUAGCCUGCCCCGUAAUUUGGAUGUAAUUAUAGGUGGAUAUAAAUACAGUUGCCAAGAGCCCAUGCAUGGCUGACUCUGGGCGCAUGGCCUGCUAGUGAGCCCAGCUCCCCAAAGAGCAGUACCCUUUAAUAAAAGAUGACUUCUAACACCUGGCUCACCCUUGAAUUCUUCCCUGGCAAAGCCAGCAACUAGCCCUGGCUAAGCCCCAACCUGGGGGCUUAUCUCUUCUGAAUCUUCUGGAACUUUCUGAAAUGACAAGAAGUCAAUGUCCAAUAGACACAAGAAGGUACUUUUCCAUUGUGUGUACCCAAAAACCAGGGACCCUGGGCUACGGAAGGACCUGUAGAGAUUAUUUUAAUUACCCCUAUCCCUAGACAUUGUUUUAAAGGUUAAAAGACAGAAAAUCAAAUACCACAUAUUCUUACUUAUAAGUGGGUGCUAAACAUUGGGUACUCACGGGCAUAAAGAUGGCACUAAUAGACACUGAAGACUACUAGAGAUGGGAAGGAUAGAGUCAGGGAGGAUUGAAAAACCAACUGUUGGAAACUGUGCUCGGUACAUGAAUGAAUCAUUCAUACUCCAAACGUCAGCAUCGGCAAUCUACCCUGGUAACAAACCUGCACAUGUGCCCCCGACUCUAAAAUAGAAGUUGAAAAAGAAAAAAAAAGUUCCAGGAAGAAACAGCCUUGGUUACAGAGAUUCCUGAGUUGGAAGUGCACUUUGGUUAACUCCCUUCAUUAUCAUUGUAAAAUCACUGCCCAAGGCAAAGCUUACUCACCGUGUUCUAUACCUGUGACGUAUGUAGAAGCAUGAUCAGCAACUGCACCCGUGCUGCCUUACUCCACCUCUCAGCCGAGAGCACAGUGACUCAUCUAGGCUCAAAACAAGUCCUGUUUCGCCAUUGUUGAAGAAGGUACUGCGUUGGGGAAUUAUUCCCAGUUACCUCUUUACUUGCUGCAAGUAAUAAGAUCCUCUUGUUAAAUGCUCCUUAGUUGUGGUGAUUGGACAGUUACCCACCGAGCGCCGGAACCCACCCAUUGUGCCGGUAACACUUCCAGCCUUGACAUUGUAUAAUUAGUGACUUAAUUUUCACAACAGCGGCCCAGGGGCGGUGGGAUAGCGAUCUUCCUUUCGCACACUCCCAUGCACACACGCGUAGUUCCACAGUUGGAGAAACCAUGCCGUAAAGUGUUAAGGGCUGUAGUUUUUUAAAAUCUAUAUGGACACUAAGCUGAGUCAAGCAGAUAGAAUUUUCUACGUUUUCGUAUUUGCUGAUUCUAUUUUAAUAUGAAGCCUCCAGGAUAGCUUACUGUGUACCUAUAGCAUGCGUAAAAACAGCAGGGUACCGGAAUUUUUUUCAGCCACUAAUUACGAUUACUUUUGCAUAUUUAAUAUAUAUUUAGAUAUGGCAAAGAUUAUUAACUUGUAACUGUUCCCAUCCUUCUACCCACACCCAAUUUGAUCCAAGGAGAGUUUCAUUUAUGCCUUUUCAACUUCUCUUGGCCGUCCUCAGAAGGACUCUCCCCUCUUGUAGGUCUUUGCCACACUUGAGUUCUUAUCAUGCAAAAACUGGGAACUUAGUUGAGAGAGAAUUCCAGAUGCCAGAGGAAAAGAAGGAGGAUUAAAACAUGUCAAUUGUUUUUUUAUUUGUUUUGUUUGUUUUUGAAAUGGAGACGGAGUCUCGCCCUUUUGCCCAGGCUGGAGUGCAGUUGUGUGAUCUUGGCUCACCGCAACCUCUGGCUGGUGGAUUCAAGCGAUUCUCCUGCCUCAGCCUCCCAAGUAGCUGGGAUUACAGGUGCCCACCAGCACACCUGGCUAAUUUUUGUAUUUUUAGUAGAGACAGCGUUUCACCAGGUUGGCCAGGCUGACCUCAAGUGAUCUGCCUGUCUCUGCCUCCCAAAGUGCUGGGAUUACAGGUGGAAGCCACCACGCCCGUCCAAAACAUGCAAAUUGAAUUAAAUAACACAGGGAUAAUAGAGGAGAGCAAACUUAUCAGGAUCGGAAUAGGAAGUCAUUUUGUUUGGGGGCUUUUAAGAGAGACGCAUCUCAGUAGUGACAGAGUAUAAUGGAAGAAAAUAGGAAGGAAAUGGAGAUUUUUUAUGAAGCUAUCUUGGACGGUGUAUUCAGAUCUUCUUCAGGCUUUUCAAGAAAAGUAAACAAAAGAUUUGAGCUGCUUUUGUAUUCCAUUGACUAUUUCACAGCUCUGAGCCUGAGCCACAUAACACCUGGUAAUUAUAAGAAUUUUGGUUCUUUUUAACAAGAGGAAAAAGAAAAGGAGGCUCUGAAGAGAAAAACUUUGUUUAAGGCUUGGCAUGGUGGCACAUGCCAGUAAUCUCAGCACUUUGGGAAGCCAAGUUGCUAGGAUUGCUUAAGGCCAGGAGUUCAAGAGCAGCUCUUUCUCUACAAAAAUUUAAAAAACAAAAAAUUAGCCAGGUGUGGUGGUGCACAAGCCUCUGGUCCCGGCUACUUGAAAGGCUGAGGUGGGAGAAUCUCCUGAGCCUGGGACGUCAAGGCUGUAGUGAGCCAUGGUCCCUCUACUGCACUCCAGCCUGGGUGACAAAAUGCAAGACCCUGUCUCAAAAGACAAAAACAAACACCCAAAUUUUGUUGAGCUCAUAAUUUGUGCCAAACUUAUUUAUUAUAAAAACAUAAACUCCUCCAACCCAAAGGCAAACUGAAGCAACUAAUAUUUAUUAAAUUCAUUAACUCUUGAUUUCAGAUCAUAUUCUCCGUGCUUAAGGCAUAGACUAUAUAAACAGAAUGCCCCCUUUGCUUCUUUCAAACGCUUUUUUUUUUCCAGCUAAAAAGUGAUAAUUAUGAUGGCCAUAGGAAGCUACUUUGUUAUUCAUGCUUUUGGCACAAAUGCAUGACUGUCAUUAUACAAUUAACAACCCAAGGCAAAUGCUAAUAAGACCAGUGCUGAACUCCAUCCAAUCUCACACAGUACUUCCUGAGCAAUGAGGCCCCGACUUGCCAUUUGUAAUUCAGUAUAAUGACAGGGAAGUGAUCCUCGGAGUCUCUGCAGUGUCUGAUUGUUUGAGAGUUCACCAAGAUGGAGAAAAGCAGGGCUACAUGGAAAAGGUUAGGAGUCCACCUCCCUAUUUAGAGUCAUGGUCAAGUUAGCUAUGAAGACAAGGGUGAGAAUUCACUAUUUCUGUGAAUUAACUAUCUGUGAGUGAAUUCUGUGAUUUCAUGUCUUUGGAAAGAAAAAGCUAUUAUAUAUUAAGAUAGUCAUUAAUAAAUUCAUCAUUUAUAAAAUUAGAACUCACAGAAUCACCUCUCUGAUAACAUUGCAGAGCAAGCCUAAAAAUGUUCAAAGAGGCAGAAUGACUUACGUGUAGUUGACAAGGGUGGUGUUGGAAAACUGCUAGAAUCAUUGGCCAAUGUUGAUCUGGGAAAAUUACUCCACUUGAAGUUUGAAGAAAAUGGAUAAGGAUGUUGACAUCAUGGAUUGUUCAAAAGGAAAUGAUCUGGUCUUAGAAAGAUGAGAGAGGCCCUUGGGAAAAUUGAUGUGUUCACUGAAGGCUUUUGUAAACAUCUUCUAUGAUUGUUGUGUUAAGCUUGAAGUGAUUGGCAUUGUAUCUCCCUAUUACAUAAUUCUGUUUGAAAAUCAUGCUUUUAAAAAAAUCUACAUUUAAUGUAUCCUUUGUUUAUUCUAGGAAUUAGUACAGAAUGCAAGUAUAUCCCAAACCUUUCCAAACAUACCAUAAAAACUUUCUUCUAUCUGUAAUGUUUCAUUUCUUCCAUGAGAAUAUGUUAACAAAUCCACCCAUGUAUGUGUGUGUGUGCAUUUGUAUGUGUAUAUAUGACUAUUUUCUCUGACCAGUUAUCCCACAUUAUCCCAGAAUAUACCACUUCUUUGAUCUGAUGACUAGUUUUUGAACUAGCAGUAACAGGAAUGAUAACGACGGAGUAGAUAGCAGGAACCUGGUACCUCUCCUUGUCCUCCCUGUCCUCAUCAUUCACAGUGAUCUUAAAUUGCUUCUCAAAGACUGGCUGCCUUAGAAUUCUAACUGCUGCUUUCCCAUCGGAACACAUGAAUUCUCUACCGUGAAGCCUCAGGUAGUGUCAGCCGGUAGAGGGCACCAGCAUUGCAGAAGGUGUCGUCGGUUCCAGACAGCUGGAGUCCUUGGCAUGUAGCAAUUUUUGUCAGCGUUUUUCAGAAAGCAAGCAGUUGGCUUUUAAUGCUGGCAGGUGAUCCUUGGUAGGUGACUGCCGUAUGAUGUAGCAAAACUUUGCAGGUGAUCAUCAGUAGCUGACUCUACUAUGUAGCAGAAUGUUGACCAUUAAUUUAAGAUAAACAAAUAAAAAGCAUAGCUAAUUCCUAAAUCUUAAAUCCCUUGCUUGUCAAUGAUACUAACUCACAUCCCACCAGCCUUUCCCAGCUUUUACUUACAAGGGCCACUCUGGAUAAUUCCAUGCCGUGGCGGGGACAAGAUAUGACAGUGUCAUUAAAAAGAUGAAGGAGGAUAGAAGGGUGUGUCCCAUUAAAAAGUAUCUUCAAUAUUGAUAACCAGGAAACUAGAAUAAGUCCAUUUCUAUGAAUGAGAAAACAAGUAUGUUGAAGAGAUUGUCAAAGUGCAUCAUUUCAAGGAUUCAGUGACCUCAAUUUUAAAUUAAAGUCUCACGCCAGUGGGUUUCGAGUGGAACCAGGCCAGAGAUUAGGAGGCAGAUGACAUUCCUUGUUGUGGUGCUCAUAUUAAAAUGUUUCAUUUUGGGUCAGGCACAGUAGCUUACGCCGUAAUUCCAGCACUUUGGGAGUCCGAGGCAGGCAGAUCAUGAGGUCAGGAGUUCAAGACUAGCCUGGCCAACAUGGUGAAACCCCAUCUCUUCUAAAAAUACAAAAAUUAGCCAGGCGUGGUGGCAUGCACCUAUAAUCCCAACUACUUGAGAGGCUGAGGCAGGAGAAUAGCUUGAAUCCAGGAGCUGGAGGUUGCAGUGAGCAGAGAUCUUACCACUACACUCCAGCCUGGGUGACAGAGCAGACUCUGUCUCAAAAAAAAAGUUCCAUUUUGGUAAUGCAAAAGAAUUGAAUUAAUGAGUGCGACAGUAAGCAAGUGAUGCCCAUUAGCAAGAGUGGAUCAUUUCCUCUGCAGAUUAUUCAUGAAACACUUUUUUAUUAGGUAGUCUGAUGGAUUUAUAAGAGAGAGCCCAUAAAUUUUAAUGGUGGUCUGAAAAAAAAUGAAUUUGGAAGAAUGAAUUUUCUUUAAAUUACCAUUAUAACCCAUUCCAAAGACUAAAAGUUAAAAUGACAAUUGGAUUAUCUGUUCCACAGUCCUGUUUCAUUAAUGCAGACAACUGAUAUUUGAAUGUAAUUUGGAAAUGUUACUUGAAAAAAGUAACAGCCAAGCAGAAUUCAGAGCAGAUAGAUCGAUAGAUAAGCCAUUAGGUUUUCUGUUCGCAAUGUCACUGUGCGGUGUGGUGGCCCACGUGUUUGUGAUUCAUUGUUCUUUUCACUGUCAGUUCAUUCUGUUGGUCUCCUUUUCAGCUGUUUAGAAGAGCAUGUUGCUAAAAAUAAAACCAAGGUCAUGGGUUUGACUCCUGUACCCUCAGGAAUCUGAGGGUUUAAGGCUUCGAGUUGCUGCAUUUUUACAGUCUCCUUGCAGAGACUAGUCCCUUCUCUGCCCAGCUAGCAAUGGCUUUGCUGUAUAAACCUCAUUCCAGCAAGUCCAGAAUUGAUCAGUUUUUUUCUUGUCUGUGGAAUCUUUUUCCAACCCUGAUAUCUAGUGGUGAAAGUGUAUGCAUCAUUUCAGGUGCAGGUGAGACACCGCAUUCUACUGAAAGCCUUUCCUGAUCUCCACUGCCUCACUGGGCAUUUUCCUCCAUGACCUCUUUCUGCACUGUGUGUCACUUCAUGAAAGCUGUCACAUAUGUCACUUGCGAUCACAUCUUUUAUCUUGUACUCUAUUCUUUAUGUAUAUUUAUGUCACUUGAGAUUUCCUAUUUUAUCUUCUAAUAUGUCUUCUAAUAUAUUCCUUUUUGUAUUUCCCACACUACUGACAUGUUACUUUAUGAAAAUUAGAGGCUCCAAAAGAAAUUAUUGGUCAGGUGCAGUGGCUGACGUCUGUAAUCCCUGAACUUUGGGAGGCCGAGGUGGGUGGAUCACCUGAGUGAGAUGAGGAGUUUGAGACCAGCCUGGCCAACAUGAUGAAACCCCGUCCCUACUAAAAAUACAAAAAAUUAGCUGGGUGUGGUGGUGCACACCUGUAAUCCCAGCUAUUCAGGAGGCUGAGGCAAGAUAAUUGCUUGAACUCGGGAGGAAGAGGUUGCAGUGAGCCAAGAUCGUGCCACUGCCCUCCAGCCUGGGCAACAACAGCAAAACUCUGUCGAGAGAGAGAGAGAGAUUAUUGAUUAUAUUAAUACAUUAGUUAACCAAUUCAUUGAUGUUGAGAGAGAUUGGCCUGGUUCGGCUCUUGAAAAACCAAUUAAAUAAGACAUUCACGUAGCAAUAGGUCUGUUUGUAAAGGAAAGGGCUUUUUUUAAUUUUCCUUUUUCCUUAAAUGACAGUUGCUGUGUGUACUCUGGACUGAGAGGUAAUGAAUUACCAUGCUGAUUACAGUAAACACAGUCAGGAAUAAAAUAUGAACACCCGCUAUUCAUACUUAUGCUUUAAUUUAUCCUUAGCACAUGCAGCAUGCAAAUAAUGAGUGGCAAGCUGGCUAUUUUACAUUUCAGACCCGUAUUUUCUCUCUCUGGAGAGGAAUAGAGGGAAUUCUUUAGGAAGGAGGGCAGUUUGUAUGGCAGAGGACUGCAUUACACUGAAAGAACACAAGAGGGAAGCCCUUUUCAGCUCAGACGCAGGAGAAAAAGAAAAAGUCUGUCCUUCGUUUGAAAAGGCUGAAUUCCCUAACCCUUUUGAGGGACUCACUUUUGGCCUUUUUAACUUUCAAAAAAAUUGAAAAUAAAAAAUAACAGCCAUAUUAUGAUAUAUAGUGAGCUUUGAAGAAGUAUGUUCAGAUUAUAUCUAAUAAAAAUAUUUUCCUUAAUUUUUUUUUUUUAUGCUAGAAGCAACAAACUGAAUCCAUUUUGUUUAGCAAUCCAUAUGUAUCUGUACUUACAAGUAUGAAUUUACCCUGUGUUUGCGAGCUGGCAGUUUGUGUGGUUUGCUGUGUGCAUUACGAUUUAAGGGAAAUUCAGGGAGAUCUGAAUUUAACCUUAUUUACCCCAUUGCCUACUUUGAGGUGACUAAUCAUGUUCUCCCAUUUUUCAGUUUACAUAAUCAGAAGGUCAAAUUAGAUUAUUUCAAAGGUUCUUUUCAGGUCAGUUUACUGCAUCUGUGAACUAUGACUGUUUUAUUAAAUCUCAAUAAAUAUUUAGGAUUUUUAGAAUAUGGCUAUCAAAUGGAUAUAACUUAGUUUACUCAGUAAAAGAGUCAGGAGAAAAUUAAAUAUGUUGAACAUACAAUGUUUUAGCAACCAGGAGGGAGUAUAUAGGUAUCCGGUGGACUUUGAGGUCAAAAUAUUUUUGUGUGUUUUCUAAACAAAUAUAUUGCUCAAAUGGUCUUGAGGUGAUUCAUUUUUGGUUGCUGGGUUAGUUUUAUAAACACACGAAGACAUUGCUUGAUCUUUCUUUUUGAUUAGAGUCUUGGGUUAAAUGACCCAAGGAAAUGAUCGUUUCUUCUUCUUUUUUAAAACUUUUUAUUUUUGGUAAGGAGGUCAUAAUGGCUAGGUUUUGUUGUUGUUGUUAGCAGUAUUUUUAAAACGUCUGUGUUUAGAGGAGUAAACACAACUUCACUAGAGUAAGAUACUGUUUAAAGCACUUCCAUAAUAACUGUCUGAACUGUCUGCACCGCUCACCGUAAUGCUGAGCUGAAUUGCUUUGCUCGUGUCUUCAGCCCGUGGGCACGGUCAUCACGCUAGCUCUUGUACUCGCGCAGUGCCUCGGUUUGCAGGAGACACGCUUCUUUUUCCCCCCACCUUCCUCGCCUCCUUCUUGUUUUUUCCUGGGCGCUGAGAAUCUCAUAUUCUUCUAUCAGGGCAAAAGAAUCGUUGAUAGUAAAACGGCCUGACUGACAAGCACAGUAGAGGCUGUAACAACAUUUGAAAGGAUGAGGGCUCAGGAAGUUAUUUUCGGGAGGAAAGUAACAGAAACCCAGUGGCUUUAGUAGUUUUGGGAAAGGAAAGGCGAAAAGAUAAUCUGGGGACCACAUAAGUGUAGCUCACUGGUUAUGUCAUUGAAAGAGGAAAGUUGGCCAGGCAUGGUGGCUCACACCUAUAAUCCCAGCACUUUGGGAGGCCGAGGCAGGUGGAUCAUGAGGUCCAGAGGUCGAGACCAUCCUGGUCAACAUAGUAAAACCCCGUCUUUACUAAAAAUACAAAAAUUAGCUGGGCAUGGUGGCACGCACCUGUAUUCCCAGCUACUUGGGAGGCUGAGGCAGGAGAAUUGCCUGCAUCCAGGAGGCGGAGGUUGUGGUGAGCCGAGAUCGCACCAUUGCACUCCAGCCUGGGUAGCAAGAGCGAAACUCCAUCUCAAAAAAAAAAAGGGGGGGGUUACAUAUGGAAAAUAAUGUAAAGUAUGUAACCAUCAUGUAAACAAUUUGGAGCACAUAGAUAAUCUAAGGCUUAAUUAUACACUUCCUCCUUUCAUUCAUUCAUUGCCCCAGCAAGUACUUGAGCACCUUCUGUGUGUCAGACACUUUGUACCAGCCCCUUGAUAUUGACAUUGAAUUUGACCUGUUUCAUGGUUGUAAGAUUAUCGGCAUCUGAAUGGGAAAGUAAACAGGUAAACACAUUAAACUGGAAAAGAAUAGGCAUAUACCAGAGAGAGUGGGGGCACACUGAAGGCCUACUGGUUUUUCAGUCAGGUUUAGGCAAGAAUGGCAUUGCAAGCAAAAGAAAAUGUUUUGCAACUACGCAGGGUUAACAGUGGCACAGCGUGUUCAGGGAACUAAAAGUUGUUUGGAAUUGUUGAAAAUCAAAGUUCAAGGGAAGGAGUGAAAGGGGGUGAGGCUGGAGAAUCAGGGCUGGGUCAAACCGUAGGAAGCUUUGUAAGCCAUGUUAAAAAUGCAUGCCUGUUUAUGUUAUAGGUGACAUGUCUCUUGUGGGGAAAAUGUGUGUCAUAUGGGGGAAAAGAAUGGUAAGAGGAACACUUUAGGGAGACCACUGGGGAAGCUCUGAGAGUUGGAUGUGAGUGGGAUAAGAAUGAAGGCGUGGAGACCAGAUAAGAGGCUCUAGAUCAGAACUGAUGAGGAGUGACUGAGAAUAAGUUUUCUAUAAGAGCAAGCUGCACCCUACCUACCAUUACAGUCUUGCUUUUGCACAAAUAUACCAUUUAUCACAGUGAUCUUACAUUCUGAGUUUGAGAAUAUUUUCCUAAUUUUAAAUGCUUUUUCUUUGCCCAUUUUGUCCUCUUAUCUGGUAAGAGAGGCAAAAAGCCAUCACUAAGCUCCUUUUCCACAUGGGGAGACUAAGCAGAGAGUUGGUGGUGAAACUGGGAUUAGAACUUGCACUAUUGGCUCUGAAUUUGUAUCAUUUUCUUUCUUUUUCUUUACUUUUUUUUAGAAGCCCCUCUCCCAAGCUGCCAAAGAAAGAUGUUAUGCUCAAGUGGGGCAGAGGCCAAAAUGCCAUUCAUAUGGUUGCUUAAAAAACAAAAAUCAAGAAAGUGAAUUUCACUGGGUGAAAACCUCCGCUGCCAAACAGACAUGUCUUUGAGCACUCAACAAGGAAAUUUCUACUUUGGUACAGAAUUAGAGAGAAUGCUGGAUUGGCUUUUGCAGAGGAUCGAUGAUUAGAGAAUCAAAGGACUCUAUUCCACCAAGAUUCACACACUUCUCAGGCGCAGAUUAUGAAGCCCUCUAAAGCCAUUCUAUUCAUACCGAAAUUCUUACUAUAUAAGCAUCCCUAUAAGAAGAGGAGAUUAGGAUACAGACACACACAGAGAGAGGACCACGUGAAGAUGCAGGGAGAAGAUGGCCAUGUACAAGCCAAGAAGAAACAAACCCAGCUGACAGCCUGAUCUCGAACUUUCCCCUGCAGACUGCGAAGAGAUGAAACCCAGAGAUAUAAAAGGAAUUUGUCUAAGGCAGAGUCGGGGAAAAAACCCAGAAUUCCAGGCUCAGUCUGGUAUUGUUUGGUCAACACGAUGCUAUUGUCCACAGAUGAAGAAACAAAAGCUCAGGGAAGAAAACUGAUAUGUUCCUAUAGGACUAUGUAUCUGUAGUAUGUGCAUGAGUGUGUGCGUGUGUAUGUGAACAUGUGUGCAUAUUGUGUGCAUGUGUCUGCACUUGUGUGCAUGUGUGUGUACACGUGUGUGUACGUGUGUGCAUGUGCAUAUGUGUACAUAUGUGUGUGCAUGUGCAUGCACUUGUCUGCAUAUGUCUGUGUGCAUAUGUAUGUGCAUGCUUGCGUGUAUAAGAAGUAGGGAGGGGAGAAAGCAGCUAUCCUUAAAAUCUUCUGAUUACUCAUUCAGUUUUAAUUUAAAAAAAAACUGCUAACCCUUAUUGGGACAGAAUGCUUACUUCCAAAAGCUCUGUAACAUAGUUUGCCAAUACUUAGCUGAACCAUAUCCACUGUCAAUGUGUAUGGACGUUGAAAUAGAACACAUUUGCAUUACCCAUGAUAAUCACUUAAAAUAUCUGGAAACUGUUUGCAGAAGAGUUUUUCAAGUAAAAAAAGAGCUUAUACCAUUUAUUUAUAAUACUUGUUAAAUAAUAAGACUCAUUCUAGGUAUCAGGCAUAGUCACAAUUUCUUACAUUUUCAAUUAGGUAAUGUAUUUUCUGUUUCUACGAUCUGGGCUCACAAAGCUUUUCUUCAUAAUCUUUUACUUCUGUUUAAUCUUCAGCUGCACAUUGCUGCCCAUUGUUAUUGAACUCGAGUCCUGUGUAGCUUUUCAUUCAGUACACCAACUACGAGGCUACAGACUUCGGCAGAAUCUGACCAAGUUCAACUGCUUGAUGGUGGAUUACUUUCCAAGCUAUUAACCAUAUCUUUUCCUAAGCCCCACUACACAGUAGCUAGACAGUAAAUGUUACUUAUCUAUUUAAAGAUCUUAAUGUUUCUCUUUUACCUUCAAAAUAAAAUUAAUACUUAAAAUUGUCAUUUAAGACCCAGGUGCCUUUCUUUUUUUCUUUUAUCUCUCUCUCUCUUUUUUUUUUUUUUUGUGACUGAAUCUUGCUCUAUAGUCCAGGCUUGAGGACAGUGGCACCAUCUCGGCACACUGCAACCUCCGCCUCCUAGGUUCAAGUGAUUCUGGUGCCUCAGUCUCUCAAGUGGCUGCGAUUACAGGCAUGCACCACCAUACCCUGCUAAUUUUUGUAUUUUAAGUAGAGACAGGGUUACACCAUGUUGGACAGGCUGGUCUUGAACUCCUGACCUCAAAUGAUAGGCUCACCUUGGCCUCCCAAAGUGCCCACCUCAGCCUCCUAAAAUGCUGAAAUUACAGUCAUGAACCACUGCACCUGGUCCCAUCUGCCUUUCUAAAUAUUACCUGGGAAUGCCUAGGCCCUUGGUCAUACUGAACUGCCUGGAAAUUCUCAAACAUUCUUUCCUGCCUCCUUGUCUUUGCAAAUGCCAUAGCAUCGGCUAAAACAAUUUUUUUUCUCUCUACUCCCCCAACUCCGACUUUCAAAUAUGGAAAAUUCUCUGUGGAAUUUUCUAUGGUCUCCUCCAACUGGGUUAGACCUCCUUCAAUUCUCCCACUACUCCCCAAACACACACUCAGACAUACAGACACACAAAUGUGUGCGUGCGCGCACGCACACACACACACACACACACGAACACACACACACAGUUUCUGCCUUAUGCUUCCAAAGAGUUCUGUCUAAAUUCCCAUCACACUUCUCACGGUAUGAUAUCCCUUUUAAAAACAUUUUCUGUUCUUCUGAUAUGGAGAACGACAAUCCAUUCUGGCCUUAGUGGCUCCUACCUAUGAGUGCUUACUAUAUUUUUGUUGCAUGAAUAGGUAAGAUACUAAUGCUUCCCCCCAACAUAUCCCCAAGGUGUGAGGGCAGGGGUUUACCAAAUAAUCUGUUAUGCUGGGAAUCCAAACAGGCUGUGCUGAUAAACCCUCAUAUGGAGUACAGAAGGGUCACUGAAAUACUCUGAAGAAACAUACAAUCCCCAGACCAUGGCUUCAUUAUUAGUUUAGUAACAGAUGAGACUUUCCAUGGAAAUGUCAAUUGCAUACCCUGAUUAGCCUCUGAUGAUGAGAAAAAUAUAGUCAAUCAUACCCCCUGGACUUAUUUCACAAAAAACCUAUCAUCUGCUGGAUAAACCCUCUUUUGCUGCGAGCCAGGUGAUGAACUGAGUGAAUAAAAUAUUGAAUCCAUGGUUUCUGAGCUCCUUCAAUGAACAAACUAAAACCCAACACCUCGACUGACCAGAAGAGAGCUUACGUGUGGCCUCGUGUUCCAAGGUGCUAAUACAAGUGUUAUUUUAACUGCAGACUUGAAAGGCUAUAUCUAAGCACAUCCUUGAUACAAUGAAAACUAUUAAACUAAGACACUUUCCGCAUGUAGUAAGUGUAAUAGAUAAAUAGACAAACAUACCCAGAUCAGAUUAAAGUGAUGCUUCAGAGGCCAGGCCUUCCCGUCUUCAGGACGGACUAACAUGGAAGUAAUUGUCACUUAAAAGAGAAAGAGAAACUUGGUUUCUCCUAGAGACCCAGUAUAUCCUAGUGGCUAGGAAUGAAGGCCAGAGUUCCCGGAUUUGAUUUCUGGAGUUAUUAGCUGUGUGUCAUUGACCAAGUUACUGCACCUCUCUGUGCUUCGGUUUUAUUACUUCAUUACACACACACCCACACACCCACACACCCUUAGCUCCUACAUCAUGGCACUAAUUAAGUGAUGUAUUAAUAAUACACAAAAAAACCCACUUUAGAAAAUUGACUAAUAGUAAACAGUGAAAGUUUACAGUGAUCUAACGAUACAAGUAUGAUUAAUGAGCUAUUCUUUGAUGCUUUUAUUUCUUUAAUUACAGUGAGAUGUCCCAAGAUAUAUUUGCUUAUCCUUGUGCCAUAGAUAAACUUCUGAACUGAACUAAUUCCCCCUGUUCUAAUGAUGCUUGUUUUCACCUCACAUUAAAUAACAAAUGUAUUAUGAAACUAAAGAUCAUCCUGAAGCAAUUACAUUGAUUCCAACUUUUGUUCUCCACAAACGGAAAGGACAACAUGUUUGUGAUAAUCGACUGCAAGUGUAUUUAUUCUCCACACCAUUGUGGGUUGCAUCCAAAUUGCGUUUUAAUUCGUUUCCCAUGUUACAGCCUUGAAAUCAGAAAAUAACAUAAUAUACUGCAGGAAAACAAUUUAAUGCAUGCUAAUGUGAAA